GCCGUUAUAGCACAGUCGGUAGUGCGAUUCACUCGUAAUGAAUAGGUCACCGGUUCGAUUCCGGUUAACGGCU
rfam:Clostridium phytofermentans ISDg, complete genome.